CCCUUAGAUGUUCGGGGCUGCACACGCGCUACACUGGAGGAAACAGCGUGUAUUGACCUGGUCCGAAAGGACUGGGUAAACCUGUGAAACUUCUCCGUGCUUGGGAUAGCGGAUUGCAAUUGUUUCGCUUCAACGAGGAAUUCCUAGUAAGCGUAAGUCAUAAGCUUGCGCUGAUUACGUCCCUGCCCUUUGUACGCACCGCCCGUCGCACCUACCGAUUGAAUGGUCCGGUGAAACCUCGGGAUUGCGGCUAGUUCCCUUUAUUGGGGAUUGGUUGUGAGAACCUGUUUAAACCUUAUCAUUUAGAGGAAGGUGAAGUCGUAACA
rnacentral:rRNA from 1 species